AUUGAACGCUGGCGGCAUGCUUUACACAUGCAAGUCGAACGGUAACAGGGAGCUUGCUCCGCUGACGAGUGGCGGACGGGUGAGUAAUAUAUCGGAACGUACCCAAGAGUGGGGGAUAACGUAGCGAAAGGUACGCUAAUACCGCAUACGCUCUAAGGGUGAAAGCAGGGGACCUUCGGACCUUGUGCUCCUGGAGCAGCCGAUAUCUGAUUAGCUAGUUGGUGAGGUAAAGGCUCACCAAGGCGACGAUCCGUAGCUGGUCUGAGAGGAUGACCAGCCACACUGGAACUGAGACACGGUCCAGACUCCUACGGGAGGCAGCAGUGGGGAAUUUUGGACAAUGGGCGCAAGCCUGAUCCAGCAAUGCCGCGUGAGUGAAGAAGGCCUUCGGGUUGUAAAGCACUUUUGUCAGGGAAGAAACGGGAUUGGCUAAUAUCCAGUCCUAAUGACGGUACCUGAAGAAUAAGCACCGGCUAACUACGUG
rnacentral:rRNA from 1 species